rnacentral:rRNA from 1 species
GAAUUCAACUCCUACGGGAGGCAGCAGUGAGGAAUAUUGGACAAUGGGCGCAAGCCUGAUCCAGCCAUGCCGCGUGCAGGAUGACGGUCCUAUGGAUUGUAAACUGCUUUUGUACAGGAAGAAACACCUCUACGUGUAGAGAUUUGACGGUACUGUAAGAAUAAGGAUCGGCUAACUCCGUGCCAGCAGCCGCGGUAAUACGGAGGAUCCAAGCGUUAUCCGGACUCAUUGGGUUUAAAGGGUCCGUAGGCGGUUUAGUAAGUCAGUGGUGAAAGCCCAUCGCUCAGCGGUGGAACGGCCAUUGAUACUGCUAGACUUGAAUUAUUAGGAAGUAACUAGAAUAUGUAGUGUAGCGGUGAAAUGCUUAGAGAUUACAUGGAAUACCAAUUGCGAAGGCAGGUUACUACUAAUUGAUUGACGCUGAUGGACGAAAGCGUGGGUAGCGAACAGGAUUAGAAACCCGGGUAGUCCAGGCGUU